AUUGAACGCUGGCGGCAGGCCUAACACAUGCAAGUCGAACGGUAACAGGAAGAAGCUUGCUUCUUUGCUGACGAGUGGCGGACGGGUGAGUAAUGUCUGGGAAACUGCCUGAUGGAGGGGGAUAACUACUGGAAACGGUAGCUAAUACCGCAUAACGUCGCAAGACCAAAGAGGGGGACCUUCGGGCCUCUUGCCAUCGGAUGUGCCCAGAUGGGAUUAGCUAGUAGGUGGGGUAACGGCUCACCUAGGCGACGAUCCCUAGCUGGUCUGAGAGGAUGACCAGCCACACUGGAACUGAGACACGGUCCAGACUCCUACGGGAGGCAGCAGUGGGGAAUAUUGCACAAUGGGCGCAAGCCUGAUGCAGCCAUGCCGCGUGUAUGAGAAGGCCUUCGGGUUGUAAAGUACUUUCAGCGGGGAGGAAGGGAGUAAAGUUAAUACCUUUGCUCAUUGACGUUACCCGCAGAAGAAGCACCGGCUAACUCCGUG
rnacentral:rRNA from 1 species